rnacentral:rRNA from 1 species
AAUAUUUGACAAUGGGCGAAAGCCUGAUCUAGCCAUGCCGCGAGUGUGAAGAAGGUCAUCGGAUUNUCAAGCACUCUAAGAUGGAANGAAGGGGUUGAAGCUAAUACCUUAAAUCUUUGACGUUACCAACAGAAUAAUCAACGGCUAACCCUGUUCCAGCAGCCGCGGUAAUACAGAGGGUGCAAGCGUUAAUCGUAAUUACUGGGCGUAAAGCGAGCGUAGGUGGUUCAGUAAGAUGAGAGUGAAGACCCCGGGCUUAACAUGGGAACUGCUUUCAUAACUGCUGAGCUAGAGUACGGUAGAGGGUAGUGGAAUUUCCUGUGUAGCGGUGAAAAGCGUAGAUAUAGGAAGGAACACCAGUGGCGAAGGCGACUACCUGGACUGAUACUGCAACUGAGGUGCGAAAGCGUGGGGAGCAAACAGG